rnacentral:misc_RNA from 1 species
CCAAUAUGAAAGCGGGUGGGGAAUCACAGGAACAAGGGCUUCGGCCUGCGUUGUCUGCCCCAUCUUGCUGAAUUAUUCACCCAUGUCUUUUGCGUACUAUUUGUUUCCUUGGUGGGCUUGCCUGCCGAUAGGACAAAAUUAAACCUUUUGUAAUUGCAAUCAGCGUCAGAAAACUUUAAUAGUUA